rfam:Salmo salar isolate Sally breed double haploid chromosome ssa14, whole genome shotgun sequence.
GACCCUGUAGCUCAGUUGGUAGAGCAUGGUGUUUGCAACGCCAGGGUUGUGGGUUCGAUUCCCACGGGGGGCC